CCUGGUUGAUCCUGCCAGUAGUCAUAUGCUUGUCUCAAAGAUUAAGCCAUGCAUGUCUAAGUACAUACCUAAAUACGGUGAAACCGCAGACGGCUCAUUAAACCAGACAUAAUCCACUGGGCCUAUACCCACUCACUCUUACUUGGAUAACUGUGGCAAUUCUAGAGCUAAUACAUGCCUUUAGAGUCUCCGAUGCCCUCGCGGGUUGAGGAGCGCUUUUAUUAGUACAAAAACCCUUCAGGCUUUCGGGCCAGACAGAAGUGGUGACUCUAGAUAACAUUGCUGAGCGAAAUGCCUUGUCCCCGCAAGGGGGCAGCCACCCAGCCCUCAAAAGCUGCGGUGGUGAGCGCAGUCGCCGAAUCCAACGAGUGUCUGACUUAUCAGCUGUCGACUGUAGGUUAAACGCCUACAGUGGCUAUAACGGGUAACGGGGAAUCAGGGUUCGAUUCCGGAGAGGGAGCCUGAGAGAUGGCUACCACAUCUAAGGAAGGCAGCAGGCGCGCAACUUACCCACUCCCGGCACGGGGAGGUAGUGACGAAAAAUACCGUUGCUGGACUCUUUCGAGUCUUUGCUUCGGAAUGAGUACACUUUAAAUCCUUGCACGAGGAUCUAGUGGAGGGAAAGUCUGGUGCCAGCAGCCGCGGUAAUUCCAGCUCCACUAGCAUAUAUUAAAGUUGCUGCGGCUAAAACGCUCGUAGUUCGAUCUCUGUCCGGGACAGGCGGUUUGCUGUAGUGGCAAUCAGGUCCUGUUUCCCGGCUGCUCCUUGCCGGCCUUGUGCCGGGGCGUGCCCUUCGCCGGGUGCGUCUCCGGCGGUCGGCAGACUUGCUUUGAAAAAAUGAGAGUGCUCAGAGCAGGCCAAACCCUACGCUUGAAUUGUGAUGCACGGGACAUGUGAACAUGACCUCGGUCCAAAUUUUCUCUCGAGGGGUUUCUUUGGACUCGAGGUAAUGAUUAAUAGGGGCUGACGGGGGCAUUCGUACUGCGGGGUGAGAGGUGAAAUUCUUAGACCCUCGCAUGACGACCUACCGCGAAAGCUUCUGCCAAGGAUGCUUUCAUUAAUCAAGAACGAAAGUCAGAGGUUCGAAGGCGAUCAGAUACCGCCCUAGUUCUGACCGUAAACGAUGACGACCAGCGAUCCGCCGAUGCUAAACCCAUGGCGCGGCGGGAAGCUUUCCGGGAAACCAAAGUCUUUGGUCUCCGGGGGAAGUAUGGUUGCAAAGCUGAAACUUAAAGGAAUUGACGGAAGGGCACCACCAGGAGUGGAGCCUGCGGCUCAAUUUGACUCAACACGGGGAAACUUACCAGGCCCAGACACUGAGAGGACUGACAGAAUGACGGCUCUUUCUCAAUUCGGUGGGUGGUGGUGCAUGGCCGUUCCUAGUUGGUGGAGCGAUUUGUCUGGUUAAUUCCGAUAACGAACGAGACUCUAGCCUGCUAAUUAGUCGGCGGGUCAGUCCCACGGGUUGGUUUCGGCCUUCCCUGAGGACGCCCGUCGGGUGCGGGGUUGGCUUCGGCCUUCCUUGCCUCGAAUGAAUAACUAUUUCUGUACUCCAGUCGUGGCGUGUGGCCGGCGGACUCUCUGGGUUGGUUGCUGUCGUUGCUUCGGUGGCGGCGGCGCCUUCUCGGUUGAGACCCGUCUAAGUCGCCGCUCGACAAAAGUCAGAGCCCGUUCGCAAUUCUUCUUAGAGGGAUCAGCGGCAGUUACAAAAUAUAUAUAUACAUAAUUUAGAAUCAGCCGCAUGAGAAGGAGAGCCAUAACAGGUCUGUGAUGCCCUUAGAUGUUCUGGGCCGCACGCGUGCUACAAUGGCCAGCACAACAAGCUCUUCCCUGCUCCGACAGGAGACGGGUAACCUUGUUAAAACUGGUCGUAUAUGGGAUUGGGGUUUGCAAUUAUGUCCCAUGAACGAGGAAUUCCUAGUAGGCGCAGUUCACCAGACUGCGCCGACUAAGUCCCUGCCCUUUGUACACACCGCCCGUCGCUACUACCGAUUGAAUGGUCUAGUGAGGGCGUCGGACUGGCGCCCGGGGAGAGGUUCUCUUGUUGGAUCGCGUUUCGGCGUGUGAAGGCAGGGGGUUAACGCCUGUGCCCCGGGUCGACGGAAAGACGUCCGAGCUGGGUCAUUUAGAGGAAGUAAAAGUCGUAACAAGGUUUCCGUAGGUGAACCUUCGGAAG
rnacentral:rRNA from 1 species